rnacentral:rRNA from 1 species
UACGUAGGCAGCGAGCGUUGUUCGGAGUUACUGGGCGUAAAGAGUGCGUAGGCGGUUUUCUAAGUUUGGUGUGAAAUCCCCGGGCUCAACCUGGGAAUGGCGAUGGUGACUGCAAGGCUAGAGUUUGGCAGAGGGGGGUAGAAUUCCACGUGUAGCAGUGAAAUGCGUAGAUAUGUGGAGGAACACCGAUGGCGAAGGCAGCCCCCUGGGUCAAAACUGACGCUCAUGCACGAAAGCGUGGGGAGCAAACAGG